AGUCCCAUUCUACAUGUCAAUAUCGACAACAAUGAAAUUUAUAGUAAGAGGAAAAUCCGUCGACUUUAGAAAUCGUGAGGGUUCAAGUCCCUCUAUCCCCA
rnacentral:tRNA from 2 species